rnacentral:rRNA from 1 species
GCCUACGGGAGGCAGCAGUCAGGAAUCGUCGGCAAUGGGCGAAAGCCUGACCGCGCGACGCCGCGUGCAGGAUGAAGCUUGAAAAAAGCGUAAACUGCUGUGGUAAGGGAAGAAGUCUGCCUUAUCAGGCAGAUUGACGGUACCUUACUAGAAAGGGGCCGCCAACUGCNUGCCAGAAGCGUCGGNAAUACGUGGGCCCCGAACGUUAUCCGGUGUUACUGGGUGUAAAAGGNCGUGUANGCGUUCUACCAAGUUUUUGGUUAAAGAUCUUCGCUUAACGAANANAAAGCCAAAAAUACUGGUAGAAUAGAAUUUUCUUUANGGAGACUGGAACUUAAGGAGGAGCAGUGAAAUGCGUUGAUACCUUAAGGAACACCAGGGGCGGAGGCGANUCUCUGAAAGAAAAUUGACGCUGAGACACNAAAGCUAGGGGAGCGAAGCAGAUUAGAGACCUGCGUAGUCCUAGCCGUAAACGUAUGCUUGCUANCUGCAUUUUUNCCUGCCUUUGGCGGGGAGAGGUGUGGCGAAGGUAACCCGNUAAGCAAGCUACCUGGUGAGUACGGCCGCNAGGUUGANNCUCAAAGGAAUUGACGGGAAUCACUAGUG